AACGAACGCUGGCGGCAUGCCUAACACAUGCAAGUCGAACGAGAUCUUCGGAUCUAGUGGCGCACGGGUGCGUAACGCGUGGGAAUCUGCCCUUGGGUUCGGAAUAACAGUUAGAAAUGACUGCUAAUACCGGAUGAUGACGUAAGUCCAAGGAUUUAUCGCCCAAGGAUGAGCCCGCGUAGGAUUAGCUAGUUGGUGAGGUAAAGGCUCACCAAGGCGACGAUCCUUAGCUGGUCUGAGAGGAUGAUCAGCCACACUGGGACUGAGACACGGCCCAGACUCCUACGGGAGGCAGCAGUGGGGAAUAUUGGACAACGGGCGAAAGCCUGAUCCAGCAAUGCCGCGUGAGUGAUGAAGGCCUUAGGGUUGUAAAGCUCUUUUACCCGGGAUGAUAAUGACAGUACCGGGAGAAUAAGCUCCGGCUAACUCCGUGCCAGCCGCCGCGGUAAUAC
rnacentral:rRNA from 1 species